CGUUUGCUGUGAUGAAUCACAAGGGCGGUAUAUAUCAUAGUAAGUUGGUUGUUGUAGAAGGCUGAUUUCCCUGAUUAUAAAUCCUAAACUGAUCAUAAACUCUGAGCAAACA
rnacentral:snoRNA from 1 species